rnacentral:rRNA from 1 species
AUCCUCAACCGCGCCGAUUGAUUUCGGUGGGGCUUGGACUUGGAGCGUGCUGGCGAAGGUCGGCUCCUCUUUAAAUGCAUCAGCGGAAGAAACCUUUGUCUUUCCUGCCUUCGGUGUGAUAAUCGUGUUGCGCCGUGGUGGAACUUCAACGAUCCGCUUACAAUGGUCUUCGGACAAAACCUCAUGUCAUCUUGACCUCAAAUCAGGUAGGACUACCCGCUGAACUUAAGCAUAUCAAUAAGCGGAGGAAAAGAAACUAACAAGGAUUCCCCUAGUAACUGCGAGUGAAGCGGGAAGAGCUCAAAUUUAAAAUCUGGUGGUCCUCGCGGCCGUCCGAGUUGUAAUCUGGAGAAGCGUUUUCCGCGUCGGACCGUGUACAAGUCUUCUGGAAUGGAGCGUCGUAGAGGGUGAGAAUCCCGUCUCUGACACGGACCGCCGAUGCUUUUGUGAUACGCUCUCGAAGAGUCGAGUUGUUUGGGAAUGCAGCUCAAAACGGGUGGUAAAUUCCAUCUAAAGCUAAAUAUUGGCGAGAGACCGAUAGCGAACAAGUACCGUGAGGGAAAGAUGAAAAGCACUUUGGAAAGAGAGUUAAACAGUACGUGAAAUUGUUGAAAGGGAAACGUUUGAAGUCAGUCGCGUCGGUCGAGACUCAACCUUGCUCUUCUGCUCGGUGCACUUCUCGGCCGACGGGUCAGCAUCAAUUUUGACCGUCGGAUAAAGGCCGAGGGAAUGUGGCAUCUUUCGGGAUGUGUUAUAGCCUUCGGUUCGCAUACGGCGAUCGGGAUUGAGGAACUCAGCGCGCCUUCAUUGGUCGGGGCUUCGGCUCACGUUAACGCGUUUAGGAUGCUGGCAUAAUGGCUUUAAGCGACCCGUCUUGAAACACGGACC